UACGGGGGGGGCAAGCGUUGUUCGGAAUUACUGGGCGUAAAGGGCUCGUAGGCGGCCAACUAAGUCGGACGUGAAAUCCCUCGGCUUAACCGAGGAACUGCCUGCCAGACUGCAAGGCUCGAGACCGGGAGAGGUGAGUGGAAUUCCCAGUGUAGCGGUGAAAUGCGCAGAUAUCAGGAGGAACACCAGUGGCGAAGGCGGGUCUCUGGGCAACAACUGACGCUGAGGAGCGAAAGCGUGGGGAGCGAACAGG
rnacentral:rRNA from 1 species